GUUUGCAUUUGAGUUUGAAUUGUAAUUUUUCUUGCGAAUAUUUUCUAACUAGAACGAAGUUUGUCAGUUAGCUUUAGUUUGAUUGUUUCCAAUUCUGUUCUAUUCAUUGUUGUCCACGUACUAGUGGUAGUAUAAAUAUUUUCGUUCUGCUUAAAGUGUGAUGGCAGUACGGCAGAUCAUACAAGGAAUGCUGAGACAUGAAAUCACAUUCAUACCACUUGGGGAAUAUAUGGUCAUCCUAUGUUGAAAAUAAACUACAAGAUACUGAUUAUAUUAGUUAUAAUGGAUUUAUGCAAUAUGGCAGUAUAGCAGAUCUGUCAUGGCAUGCUGAGUAAUGAAUUGGCUUUCAGAACACUUGGGGAAAGUAUCCACACAGCAUGUUGAAAAUGGACGAGGAGAUACUGAUAAUAAUAAUGGAUAUAUGCAAUAUGGCAGCAGAGCAGAUUACACAGGGAAUGCUGAGAGAAGAAUUCACUUUCAUUCCACUUGGCGAAAAUAUCAACAUCCUAUGUAGAAAAUGAACUUCAAGAUACUGAAAUAAUAAUAAUACAAGAUUUGUGCAAUGGACGUGUAAUGGUUAUUGAAUAUGGCAGUACGGCAGAUCAUACAAGGAAUGCUGAGACAUGAAAUCACAUUCAUACCACUUGGGGAAUAUAUGGUCAUCCUAUGUUGAAAAUAAACUACAAGAUACUGAUUAUAUUAGUUAUAAUGGAUUUAUGCAAUAUGGCAGUAUAGCAGAUCUGUCAUGGCAUGCUGAGUAAUGAAUUGGCUUUCAGAACACUUGGGGAAAGUAUCCACACAGCAUGUUGAAAAUGGACGAGGAGAUACUGAUAAUAAUAAUGGAUAUAUGCAAUAUGGCAGCAGAGCAGAUUACACAGGGAAUGCUGAGAGAAGAAUUCACUUUCAUUCCACUUGGCGAAAAUAUCAACAUCCUAUGUAGAAAAUGAACUUCAAGAUACUGAAAUAAUAAUAAUACAAGAUUUGUGCAAUGGACGUGUAAUGGUUAUUGAAUAUGGCAGUACGGCAGAUCAUACAAGGAAUGCUGAGACAUGAAAUCACAUUCAUACCACUUGGAGAAUAUAUCGUCAUCCUAUGUUGAAAAUAAACUACAAGAUACUGAUUAUAUUAGUUAUAAUGGAUUUAUGCAAUCUACGGAUGGCAGUAUAGCAGAUCUGUCAUGGCAUGCUGAGUAAUGAAUUGGCUUUCAGAACACUUGGGGAAAGUAUCCACACAGCAUGUUGAAAAUGGACGAGGAGAUACUGAUAAUAAUAAUGGAUAUAUGCAAUAUGGCAGCAGAGCAGAUUACACAGGGAAUGCUGAGAGAAGAAUUCACUUUCAUUCCACUUGGCGAAAAUAUCAACAUCCUAUGUAGAAAAUGAACUUCAAGAUACUGAAAUAAUAAUAAUACAAGAUUUGUGCAAUGGACGUGUAAUGGUUAUUGAAUAUGGCAGUACGGCAGAUCAUACAAGGAAUGCUGAGACAUGAAAUCACAUUCAUACCACUUGGGGAAUAUAUGGUCAUCCUAUGUUGAAAAUAAACUACAAGAUACUGAUUAUAUUAGUUAUAAUGGAUUUAUGCAAUAUGGCAGUAUAGCAGAUCUGUCAUGGCAUGCUGAGUAAUGAAUUGGCUUUCAGAACACUUGGGGAAAGUAUCCACACAGCAUGUUGAAAAUGGACGAGGAGAUACUGAUAAUAAUAAUGGAUAUAUGCAAUAUGGCAGCAGAGCAGAUUACACAGGGAAUGCUGAGAGAAGAAUUCACUUUCAUUCCACUUGGCGAAAAUAUCAACAUCCUAUGUAGAAAAUGAACUUCAAGAUACUGAAAUAAUAAUAAUACAAGAUUUGUGCAAUGGACGUGUAAUGGUUAUUGAAUGUAAUUUAUAGUAAAUGAAUAGUUGUGAAACAAUUGAAAUUUGUUAAAAAUCUUAAUAAAAUAUUGGUAAACACCUUCAGCUUGGAAUUUUCGUUCUUAAAAUUUGCCAUAGCUAUAAAAAUGGUUUUAUUAUUACUUCACGUCUACAUGAUCAUUUUGAAGAAAAUCACCAAUUUCAUAUUUUACGGUAUUCAUAAAACAGUCAAUAUUAUGUUAGUGUCAUGAAACUCUGUCAAUUAGAUUAAGAAUAUGAUUCUAAUUUACCAUUGUUAACUUUCAUUUAUUUCAUUAACCCUGAUAUUUUAAAAACCCUAUAAAACAUGAUUUUAUAUGAUAAUUUUGACGAAUAUUGUAAAUUCCAAUUUUUUACUGCAUAUAAAACACUCAGUUAUCACAGGUUAGUGUGUUGAAACCUCGUCGUUUAGAUUAAGAAGAAAAUGGUUCCAUUAUACCAUUAUUAACUUUCUUAUGUUUCAUUUAACACGAUGUUUUAAAAACACUGAAAAAUAUGUUUUCGUAUGGUAACUUUGACUGAAAUUACAAAUUUAUAUUUUUUCCAUAUUAAAAUGCAGCAUUUCUAAGUUAUUCAAACAGCGCAUUCCUUAGUUGAAUUUAUUUUACAUUCAAAUUCAACAAAACAUCGGAGUAUUUUUCUACUAUCUUUUGUCGCUUAUCAUGAUUAUUAUUUCUUAUCAUCUGUUAUAAGUUUAUCUUUCGUAUUAUUAUCUUCUUUCAGUUUUACUUUCGUAUUUGCAUUUGAGUUUGAAUUGUAAUUUUUCUUGCGAAUAUUUUCUAACUAGAACGAAGUUUGUCAGUUAGCUUUAGUUUGAUUGUUUCCAAUUCUGUUCUAUUCAUUGUUGUCCACGUACUAGUGGUAGUAUAAAUAUUUUCGUUCUCCUUAAAGUGUGAUGGCAGUACGGCAGAUCAUACAAGGAAUGCUGAGACAUGAAAUCACAUUCAUACCACUUGGAGAAUAUAUCGUCAUCCUAUGUUGAAAAUAAACUACAAGAUACUGAUUAUAUUAGUUAUAAUGGAUUUAUGCAAUCUACGGAUGGCAGUAUAGCAGAUCUGUCAUGGCAUGCUGAGUAAUGAAUUGGCUUUCAGAACACUUGGGGAAAGUAUCCACACAGCAUGUUGAAAAUGGACGAGGAGAUACUGAUAAUAAUAAUGGAUAUAUGCAAUAUGGCAGCAGAGCAGAUUACACAGGGAAUGCUGAGAGAAGAAUUCACUUUCAUUCCACUUGGCGAAAAUAUCAACAUCCUAUGUAGAAAAUGAACUUCAAGAUACUGAAAUAAUAAUAAUACAAGAUUUGUGCAAUGGACGUGUAAUGGUUAUUGAAUGUAAUUUAUAGUAAAUGAAUAGUUGUGAAACAAUUGAAAUUUGUUAAAAAUCUUAAUAAAAUAUUGGUAAACACCUUCAGCUUGGAAUUUUCGUUCUUAAAAUUUGCCAUAGCUAUAAAAAUGGUUUUAUUAUUACUUCACGUCUACAUGAUCAUUUUGAAGAAAAUCACCAAUUUCAUAUUUUACGGUAUUCAUAAAACAGUCAAUAUUAUGUUAGUGUCAUGAAACUCUGUCAAUUAGAUUAAGAAUAUGAUUCUAAUUUACCAUUGUUAACUUUCAUUUAUUUCAUUAACCCUGAUAUUUUAAAAACCCUAUAAAACAUGAUUUUAUAUGAUAAUUUUGACGAAUAUUGUAAAUUCCAAUUUUUUACUGCAUAUAAAACACUCAGUUAUCACAGGUUAGUGUGUUGAAACCUUGUCGUUUAGAUUAAGAAGAAAAUGGUUCCAUUAUACCAUUAUUAACUUUCUUAUGUUUCAUUUAACACGAUGUUUUAAAAACACUGAAAAAUAUGUUUUCGUAUGGUAACUUUGACUGAAAUUACAAAUUUAUAUUUUUUCCAUAUUAAAAUGCAGCAUUUCUAAGUUAUUCAAACAGCGCAUUCCUUAGUUGAAUUUAUUUUACAUUCAAAUUCAACAAAACAUCGGAGUAUUUUUCUACUAUCUUUUGUCGCUUAUCAUGAUUAUUAUUUCUUAUCAUCUGUUAUAAGUUUAUCUUUCGUAUUAUUAUCUUCUUUCAGUUUUACUUUCGUAUUUGCAUUUGAGUUUGAAUUGUAAUUUUUCUUGCGAAUAUUUUCUAACUAGAACGAAGUUUGUCAGUUAGCUUUAGUUUGAUUGUUUCCAAUUCUGUUCUAUUCAUUGUUGUCCACGUACUAGUGGUAGUAUAAAUAUUUUCGUUCUCCUUAAAGUGUGAUGGCAGUACGGCAGAUCAUACAAGGAAUGCUGAGACACGAAAUCACAUUCAUACCACUUGGGGAAUAUAUCGUCAUCCUAU